AAAGUACUCCCUUCGUUUGAAAAUUCUUGUCUUAGAUUUGUCUAGAUACAGAUGUAUCAAGUCACAUUUUAGUAUUAGAUACAUCCGUAUCUAGACAAAUCUAAGACAAGAAAUUUGGGACAGAGGGAGUAGUUG
rfam:Triticum aestivum genome assembly, contig: Triticum_aestivum_CS42_TGACv1_scaffold_198463_3AL